rnacentral:rRNA from 1 species
CAGCCGCCGCGGGAAUACGUAGGUGGCAAGCGUUGUCCGGAAUUAUUGGGCGUAAAGGGCUCGCAGGCGGUUUCUUAAGUCUGAUGUGAAAGCCCCCGGCUCAACCGGGGAAGGUCAUUGGAAACUGGGAAACUUGAGUGCAGAAGAGGAGAGUGGAAUUCCACGUGUAGCGGUGAAAUGCGUAGAGAUGUGGAGGAACACCAGUGGCGAAGGCGACUCUCUGGUCUGUAACUGACGCUGAGGAGCGAAAGCGUGGGGAGCGAACAGGAUUAGAUACCCGGGUAGUCCCUGUCUCUUAUAA